GAUGAACGCUGGCGGCGUGCCUAAUACAUGCAAGUCGAGCGAACAGACGAGGAGCUUGCUCCUCUGACGUUAGCGGCGGACGGGUGAGUAACACGUGGAUAACCUACCUAUAAGACUGGGAUAACUUCGGGAAACCGGAGCUAAUACCGGAUAAUAUAUUGAACCGCAUGGUUCAAUAGUGAAAGACGGUUUUGCUGUCACUUAUAGAUGGAUCCGCGCCGCAUUAGCUAGUUGGUAAGGUAACGGCUUACCAAGGCAACGAUGCGUAGCCGACCUGAGAGGGUGAUCGGCCACACUGGAACUGAGACACGGUCCAGACUCCUACGGGAGGCAGCAGUAGGGAAUCUGCCGCAAUGGGCGAAAGCCUGACGGAGCAAGGCCGCGUGAGUGAUGAAGGUCUUCGGAUCGUAAAACUCUGUUAUUAGGGAAGAACAAAUGUGUAAGUAACUAUGCACGUCUUGACGGUACCUAAUCAGAAAGCCACGGCUAACUACGUG
rnacentral:rRNA from 1 species